rnacentral:rRNA from 1 species
GAUGAACGCUGGCGGCGUGCUUAACACAUGCAAGUCGAGCGAACGGACGAGAAGCUUGCUUCUCUGAUGUUAGCGGCGGACGGGUGAGUAACACGUGGAUAACCCACCUAUCAGACUGGGAUAACUACGGGAAACCGGAGCUUAUACCGGAUAAUAUUCUGAACCGCAUGGUUCAAAAGUGAAAGACGGCCUUGCUGUCACUUAUAGCUGGAUCCGCGCUGCAUUAGCUAGUUGGUAAGGUAACGGCUUACCAAGGCAACGAUGCAUAGCCGACCUGAGUGGGUGAUCGGCCACACUGGAACUGGGACACGGUCCAGACUCCUACGGGAGGCCGCAGUAGGGAAUCUUACGCAAUGGGCGAAAACCUGACGGAGCAGCGCCACGUGAGUGAUGAAGGUCUUCGGAUCGUAAAGCUCUGUUAUUAGGGAAGAACAGAUGUGUAAGUAACUGAGCACAGCUUGACGGUACCUAGUCAGAAAGCCACGGCUAACUACGUG